rnacentral:rRNA from 1 species
AAUAGAUACCCCGGUAGUCCACGCCGUAAACGAUGAGUGCUAAGUGUUAGAGGGUUUCCGCCCUUUAGUGCUGCAGCUAACGCAUUAAGCACUCCGCCUGGGGAGUACGGUCGCAAGACUGAAACUCAAAGGAAUUGACGGGGGCCCGCACAAGCGGUGGAGCAUGUGGUUUAAUUCGAAGCAACGCGAAGAACCUUACCAGGUCUUGACAUCCUCUGACAACUCUAGAGAUAGAGCGUUCCCCUUCGGGGGACAGAGUGACAGGUGGUGCAUGGUUGUCGUCAGCUCGUGUCGUGAGAUGUUGGGUUAAGUCCCGCAACGAGCGCAACCCUUGAUCUUAGUUGCCAGCAUUUAGUUGGGCACUCUAAGGUGACUGCCGGUGACAAACCGGAGGAAGGUGGGGAUGACGUCAAAUCAUCAUGCCCCUUAUGACCUGGGCUACACACGUGCUACAAUGGAUGGUACAAAGGGCUGCAAGACCGCGAGGUCAAGCCAACCCCGAUAAAACCCAUUCUCAGUUCGGA